CGGUGAUGCCGAUGGUGUGAGCUGGAAAUGGGGUGCUACGUCAUCGUUGUCAUCGUC
rnacentral:miRNA from 1 species